GACGAACGCUGGCGGCGUGCUUAACACAUGCAAGUCGAACGAAGUGGCGAACGGGUGAGUAACGCGUAAUCAACCUGCCCUUCAGAGGGGGUCAACAGUUGGAAACGACUGCUAAUACCGCAUACUGAAGGAGGGGAUUGCGUCUGAUUAGCUAGUUGGAGGGGUAACGGCCCACCAAGGCGAUGAUCAGUAGCCGGUCUGGGAAGAUGAACGGCCAAAAUGGGACUUAGACACGGCCCAGACUCCGACGGGAGGCAGCAAUGGGGAAUCUUCCGAAAUGGACGAAAGUCUGACGGAGCAACGCCGCGUGAGAGAUGACGGCCUUCGGGGUGUAAAGCUCUGUUAAUCGGGACGCGGUACCGGAAUAGAAAGCCACGGCUAACUACGUGCCAGCCGCCGCGGUAAUUC
rnacentral:rRNA from 1 species